rnacentral:lncRNA from 1 species
AAAGCAAUAGUACUAAACAAGAUGCAGAAAAAAAGGAAAUUUCAGCCAAAAGACGACCAGUAUGUUCUAAUUGGCUAUUUGGAGGAAUCGAAAGCUUAUCGACUUUGGAAAUCUGGAACAAAGACUGUAAUCAAGGCUAGAAAUGUUAAAUUUUUUGAAAAUUUAAAUUCAAAAGAUAUAGCGACAAACAACAUUCUAACUAUACCAGGAGACAUCAAAAUUGACGUUGAUGAAUCAGCCAAGUUACCAUUAGAACAAUCUCCUAAUGCACAAGGAAGCAUUUAUGAUUUUGAUAAAGAAGAUUCAAGCACAGAAGAAUUU